UUACGGCCACAUCAUGUUGAAAUACCGGUUCACUUACGACCACUGAAAUUACGCAACGUUGGGCCUUGUCAGUACUAAGAUAGGUGUCUGCCUGAGAAUACCAAGUACU